rnacentral:tRNA from 1 species
UGGAGUGUUAGUAAAACAAUUACAUAACCUUGUCAAGGUUAAAUUACAGGUGAAAGCCCUGCACACCCCA